rnacentral:rRNA from 1 species
AAAGCGUGCGCAGGCGGUUAUGUAAGACAGAUGUGAAAUCCCCGGGCUCAACCUGGGAACUGCAUUUGUGACUGCAUGGCUAGAGUACGGUAGAGGGGGAUGGAAUUCCGCGUGUAGCAGUGAAAUGCGUAGAUAUAGGAAGGAACACCAGUGGCGAAGGCGACCACCUGGACUGAUACUGACACUGAGGUGCGAAAGCGUGGGGAGCAAACAGGAUUAGAUACCCUAGU